AUGUCAGAUUGGAUUCCGGACGUCGAGAAGGAGCUCCAGCCAUUGGUGAUGGGCACGGAGAACUCCGGCGGCACCGUAGCCAUGGGCGCUGCUGACUUAGCUGUCAACGGCGUCGGCGCUGCGGUGGGCGCGGCCCGUGCCACCACAGACGAGAUCCUCGUCGCCGACCAAGACAUGGAGAUGCAGACGGGCGCGGAGGUGGUGUGUGAUCCAGACGCCGAGACGCAGUCCGCCCCUGAUGUUGUCUGUGAUCCAGAGGCGGAGACGCAGUCCGCACAGUCCGCCGCUGAUGAUGUGUCUGAUGCAGACGCGGAGACCCAGCUUCCCGCCGGAGGCGAGGGUCAGUACGAUGCUGACGAUGAAGUGGGGGCGCUUCUGGACCAAGUCGAGGCGUUCGUGGAUAACUUCUCAGCGCUCCUCGACCAGGUCGAGCAGCUCGUGCACCAGCUCACGAUCACCCAGCGCACGGGCGACGGCUUCCCAGAGCCGGGGAGGUCCUCGGUGACGCCGGAACACGGCCUGCAGUGGCGCUACUGA
rnacentral:rRNA from 1 species